GAUGAAGAACGUAGCGAAAUGCGAUAAGUAAUGUGAAUUGCAGAAUUCAGUGAAUCAUCGAAUCUUUGAACGCACCUUGCACUCCUUGGUAUUCCGAGGAGUACGCCUGUUCGAGUGUUAUGAAGCUCUCAAAACGCAAUUGGCUUAAAACCUGAUUGUUGUUUUGGAUUUGAACUUUGCCGUGUUAUAACGGCUGGUUUUUAAAGUAUUAGCUGGUACUAGAACGAAUUGGUUCUACUCAACGUGAUAAUUAUCUGAUCGUUGAGGACAUUCCUUUCACGAGGAAUGGCCAUAGUAAAUUCAAUGGACUGCUUCUAAUCUGGCUUUAAUUCUUUAUUGGAUUAACCACUUUUCAAAUCUGACCUCGAAUCAGGUGGGACUACCCGCUGAACUUAAGCAUAUCAAUAAGCGGAGGA
rnacentral:misc_RNA from 1 species